GAUUGACUUUUUUCGACCUUUGCCAAACGAUACACGAUUAUUUCCUGACACCGCAAGGAGAUUGAAUGUACCGAGGGAGAUCCUAUUUUGGAGUUCACAGAAUAUAAAACGAUUUGUAAAUAGUAUGAAAACUGGAAGUAUCUGUGUCUUUAAUGGAAGGGGAAUGGUGAUUGGGUGUGCUGAAGCAGGAAAGACAACUCUUGUAAAAAAGCUGAAAGGAGAAAAAGAUCUAAAACAUCACCAACAAAGGGAAUCGAAACACAUACACAUGUAUUUAAACUAGAUGAAAAAGAAUCUGUCAUUAUAGCUUGCAAAGACACUGAAAGAAAAACAGCCUGUCUCAGUCUGACACCGGCGACUGUGGCUCUUCAAGAAGAAAGCAAAAGAAGAAGUCCACGCCGCAAUUCAGGCAAAAAGUUGUCUUCGAAUGUGGUACAAGAAAUAAAAUCAUGUUCAAUUGACAAAUCUGUGAAAGCAGACACCGUAUUAACCACUAGUAUAGAGAGUGGUGAGGACAAAAUCCUAAAGGAUUCAGUUCCCGUUCCUGAAACCUCAACAGAUAUUGUACCCGAAUCCCAAAAUAUUGAGCAUGAUGAGGACAGUCAAAAAUCUUUACCAGAAGUUGAUCCAAGUAAGUGUUCAGCCUUCUUGAGCAAUGAUAAUUUCAAAAU